rnacentral:rRNA from 1 species
AUUGAACGCUGGCGGCAGGCCUAACACAUGCAAGUCGAACGAGUGGCGGACGGGUGAGUUAUGUCUGUGAAACUGCCCGAUGGAGGGGGAUAACUUCUGGAAACGGUAGCUAAUACCGCAUACCAUCGGAGGUGCCCAGAUGGGAUUAGCUAGUAGGUGGGGUAACGGUGCACCUAGGCGACGAUCCCUAGCUGGUCUGAGAGGAUGACCAGCCACACUGGAACUUAGACACGGUCCAGACGCCUACGAGAGGCAGCGGUGGGGAAUAUUGCACAAUGGGCGCAAGCCUGAUGCAGCCGUGCCGCGUGUAUGAAGAAGGCCUUCGGGUUGUAAAGGACUUUCAGCGAGGAGGCGUUACUCGCAGAAGAAGCACCGGCUAACUCCGUGCCAGCAGCCGCGGUAAUAC